rnacentral:rRNA from 1 species
GAUGAACGCUGGCGGCGUGCCUAACACAUGCAAGUCGAGCGAUUCUCUUCGGAGAAGAGCGGCGGACGGGUGAGUAACGCGUGGGUAACCUGCCCUGUACACACGGAUAACAUACCGAAAGGUAUGCUAAUACGAGAUAAUAUGCUUUUAUCGCAUGGUAGAGGUAUCAAAGCUCCGGCGGUACAGGAUGGACCCGCGUCUGA